rnacentral:misc_RNA from 1 species
GAUGAAGAACGUAGCGAAAUGCGAUACUUGGUGUGAAUUGCAGAAUCCCGUGAACCAUCGAGUCUUUGAACGCAAGUUGCGCCCGAAGCCAUUAGGCCGAGGGCACGCCUGCCUGGGCGUCACACGUCGUUGCCCCCCCAUCUACUCCUUCGGGAUUGCGGGGGGCGGAUGAUGGCCUCCCGUGCGCCUCGCCGCGCGGUUGGCAUAAAUGCCAAGUCCUCGGCGACGCACGCCACGACAAUCGGUGGUUGCGAAACCUCGGUUGCCCGUCGUGUGCGGUCGUCGCGCAUCGAGGGCUCGAAAAAAUUGCCGGGUUCCGGCUCGGCUUUCAACGCGACCCCAGGUCAGGCGGGGUUACCCGCUGAAUUUAAGCAUAUCUAUAAGCGGAGGA